GACUAGUUAUGCCCUAGCCUCCUUUUUUUUGUAUUGUUUCUUUGCAAAGGUUAAUAUUGCGCAUAUUGAGCGUGUCUAUUCUCUUUUUGCAUCUAGAAUACAUACCUUUGGAUAUUCAGGGAAAUUUCCUUUUUUACAGACUCCUAAGGGCACAAUCUCCAAACACAAAAGACCUCAGGUCCUCAAUUAUUGUUGUUGUGUCAAAUAUUAAGUGUUAACUAUUGGAGAACAUUUUUAAAAAGAAUUGAAUUUUUUGUCUAUUUUUUAAUUUUAUUUAAUCCCAGAGAUUUCCCUCCUCGUUCCCCACACUCUAAUUUACCACCAGUGAAUUUCAUGCAACCCCCUUAUGUCUUCUCCUUUGAGUCUAAUGUAUAAAAAUGGUGCAAAACUGUCGUUCUCCUGAGCAUUACUCAACCUGUUGUUAUUUUGCUUCCUGGCAAAUGUCGCCAACUUGGGUCAAAUAAACUUAGAAAAAGUC